CCUACGGGAGGCAGCAGUGAGGAAUAUUGGUCAAUGGGCUUACGCCUGAACCAGCCAAGUCGCGUGAGGGAAGACUGCCCUAUGGGUUGUAAACCUCUUUUGUCAGGGAGCAACGCCGGCUACGUGUAGCCGGACUGAGAGUACCUGAAGAAAAAGCAUCGGCUAACUCCGUGCCAGCAGCCGCGGUAAUACGGAGGAUGCGAGCGUUAUCCGGUUUUAUUGGGUUUAAAGGGUGCGUAGGCGGAAUGCCAAGUCAGCGGUAAAAUCGCGGGGCUCAACCUCGCUCCGCCGUUGAAACUGGCGGUCUUGAGUGGGCCAGAAGUAUGCGGAAUGCGUGGUGUAGCGGUGAAAUGCAUAGAUAUCACGCAGAACUCCGAUUGCGAAGGCAGCAUACCGGCGCCCAACUGACGCUGAAGCACGAAAGCGUGGGUAUCGAACAGGAUUAGAUACCCUUGUAGUC
rnacentral:rRNA from 1 species